CCUACGGGUGGCUGCAGUCGAGAAUCAUUCACAAUGGGGGAAACCCUGAUGGUGCGACGCCGCGUGGGGGAAUGAAGGUCUUCGGAUUGUAAACCCCUGUCAUGUGGGAGCAAAUUAAAAAGAUAGUACCACAAGAGGAAGAGACGGCUAACUCUGUGCCAGCAGCCGCGGUAAUACAGAGGUCUCAAGCGUUGUUCGGAAUCACUGGGCGUAAAGCGUGCGUAGGCUGUUUCGUAAGUCGUGUGUGAAAGGCGCGGGCUCAACCCGCAGACGGCACAUGAUACUGCGAGACUAGAGUAAGGGAGGGGGAACCGGAAUUCUCGGUGUAGCAGUGAAAUGCGUAGAUAUCGAGAGGAACACUCGUGGCGAAGGCGGGUUCCUGGACAUUAACUGACGCUGAGGCACGAAGGCCAGGGGAGCGAAAGGGAUUAGAUACCCGAGUAGUC
rnacentral:rRNA from 1 species